ACCUGGCUGGCUCAGUCAUUAGAGCAUGAGACUCUUGAUCUCAGGGUCGUGGGUUUGAGCCCCACGUUGGGCA